AUUGAACGCUGGCGGCAGGCCUAACACAUGCGAGUCGAGCGGAUGAAGGGAGCUUGCUCCUGGAUUCAGCGGCGGACGGGUGAGUAAUGCCUAGGAAUCUGCCUGGUAGUGGGGGAUAACGUCCGGAAACGGGCGCUAAUACCGCAUACGUCCUGAGGGAGAAAGUGGGGGAUCUUCGGACCUCACGCUAUCAGAUGAGCCUAGGUCGGAUUAGCUAGUUGGUGGGGUAAAGGCCUACCAAGGCGACGAUCCGUAACUGGUCUGAGAGGAUGAUCAGUCACACUGGAACUGAGACACGGUCCAGACUCCUACGGGAGGCAGCAGUGGGGAAUAUUGGACAAUGGGCGAAAGCCUGAUCCAGCCAUGCCGCGUGUGUGAAGAAGGUCUUCGGAUUGUAAAGCACUUUAAGUUGGGAGGAAGGGCAGUAAGUUAAGACCUUGCUGUUUGGACGUUACCAACAGAAUAAGCACCGGCUAACUUCGG
rnacentral:rRNA from 1 species